GACGAACCGUGCGAACGUUGUUCGGAAUCACUGGGCUUAAAGGGCGCGUAGGCGGGCCGCAAAGUCAGGGGUGAAAGCCUCCAGCUUAACUGGAGAAGUGCCUCUGAUACUGGCGGCCUCGAGGGAGAUAGGGGCGUGCGGAACUUCCGGUGGAGCGGUGAAAUGCGUAGAUAUCGGAAGGAACACCGGUGGCGAAGGCGGGUCUCUGGGCCGAUACUGACGCUGAGGAGCGAAAGCGUGGGGAGCGAACAGG
rnacentral:rRNA from 1 species